AGAUGACACUCAUCCUGAAGAUGCUGCCGGCAGCAAACAUCACCAGGAACAGGCAAUGAAAAAACAGAUGCUACAUGAAGAUUUUUCCCACUAAACCCACAGCUUUGGAACAAAGCAACCCUCAAAGAGACAAAAC
rnacentral:lncRNA from 12 species